AAAGUGGAGCCUCAUCCAACUUUUAUCAGUUGAAGCUCUUCCAUUGUAAAAUUUUCCCACGCAGUACCAGUCUCCCAUCUCUCUCGACUGUUCCGCUUCUUCAUCUUUCUUACUCAAUCCACUGCUACGAUUUAUUUCUGCUUUUUGACUGAUUUCAGGUAAUUGACCGACUCAAAAAAAACCUUACGUUUGUACCUGUAUUGCCAGAUGUUGUGUUCUCUAGAUUCUCAUCAACUAAAGACCUUCGUUGCUUUUUCUGCCAAGGUGCAGUCAUGGUUGCUCCAAUGGUUAAUCCAUAUGAACUAAGAAUGACCAAGGUGGAGAAGAAUAAAAUGUGAAAGACAUGGACAACAAAGAAGAAAACCAUGUAUAUAUUAUUUAGGAAGUUUCCAAGACUACUUCCUUACUUUUACCGUAGAAGCUUCCUUAAUGGAAUCUAUGGCCCGAUCAAAACACGGCUUGCCUUAUCACUUGGAAUAAGAGAUAAAGCUUAUCAUUUGAACGCUUAUUAUUUGAACACUUAUCAUUUGAAGAGUUCUGGCAAAGAGAUCAAUAAGAAGUUGUUGGACAAAGAAUGCAAAACCAUUCGUGGAGGAAGCUGUCUUAUAGGUUUCAAAUUGGGGUUUUAGCCCGGCAGACCUCAAAGUGCAGACGAAACACCCUGGAAAGUGUAUUGUGCAUUGGAUUAAAUCUCUGUAUGGUCAAACAGAAGAAAUCUUGACUGGAUUCCUCGCUCAAAUUCAUAUAUGGCGGGUUGGUUCAUAUCUUCUUUACCUAUUUUUGUUUUCCUUAUUCAAGAUAAUUCCUCAUAGCUUAUCAACAUAUUACGCCAACUUGUGUAAAGUAACUAAAAUUUUAAAUUUUAUCUGGGGAUGGAAAAUAUGGUGGUACCGCCAUCCACAACUGAUUUUUUACAGCGAGUCCUACCAGAUGCAAUGGUACAUAGGCUCUUAUACGACGCAAAUGUCUUGACGAGUAGGACGGUUUUUGGUGCUCAAAAGAAGCAGGCAAAUAUCUUGACGAGUAGGAUGAGUAGGCAUAGUGAACCUCAUCAAAUCCUGCACUACCAUCUCUUAUAGGCCUCUUUCUGCAUUUUUUUAUGGUGAUCAAGCUUUGAUUUAGUCAUGUGUUUCAGAAUUUUGACGACGUUGCCAGAGACCCAUCCUCAAAGACAUCAUACGAAGUUUCCAUUUUUGCAGAUAACACAUGGAAAAAGAUUCGUGUUGUCUCGAAAUCAUUUUUCUUACUUCUUAUAGAAAAAUUGGUCUUAUUCGUAUAUUUGGUGAACAGAUGAAUGAUUCAUCAGUUAAAGAAAAGCAAACAAAAUCUGCAAUUGCAAAGAGUGCAAUUUCCUUACAGGUCACAGAGCCUAGUGUGAGUAACACUGAUUCGGAGGAAUUGAUGAGAAUUGCGAUAGAGAUAGUGGAGGAGAAAUGAUUGAUGGGAUUUUAACUUUAGGGACCAAGUCCACAUAUGAAAUCCCAUCUGAAGAAGAACUUAUUCGGCGUGCUCUUGCUGAAGAUGAAUUUAAGAGAGAAAAACAAGAUGCUUUAAAUGAGGAAGUUCCAGAGCCCAACAAGCCCGUUUUACUGCCUGGUUGGGGCCAGCGGACCAGUAUACAAAAGUAGAGAGGUCCGCCUUCUUGGAUGCUUCAAAAACAUGAUAACCCCAAAAAGAAAAGGGAAGAAGCUCUCAAGAAAAGAAAAGAUGCAAAGUCGAAUCAUGUUAUCAUCUCCGAAAAGCGGGAUUAGAAGGUUCCUUCUUCCAGCAUCACUUAUAGAGAUGAAUGAUGUAGCACCUUAUUUUUUUGGUUUUUCCUUUGGGUGAUAAUUUCUUAACAAUUGGUUGAGAUGGAAGUACAACCCACUGGAUGAGCCCAGUCCAUUACGUGAAGAGCCCUAUUUUGACUGAUUUUUCAUUUAUCAUUGGAACUCGACAAUUAGGGAAAGAAAGGGAACUCCAGAACUAUUGAAAGGCUCAAAGCCUCGAACUUUUCUACCACAGUUAUGAGAAUCAGGAGCUGGGAGGUAAUAUUGAUGUUUUAGCUGGGAGGUAAUAUUGAUGUUUUAGUAUUGAUUGUAAUUUGUAAUCAGCAAAUUGCAAUUUAGAAAAGCUACAACUGAUGAAAAUUGUGUUAUUUUUUUGUGAGUUUUGUAUAUUAAUGAAAAUUGAGCUGAAUUAGGAAGUGAAUUUUUUUCACAA